rnacentral:lncRNA from 10 species
CCGGGAAGACAGAGCAAGCCAAGGCUGACCUGGCCCGGCUGGCCAUCAUCCGGAAACAGCGGGAGGAGGCUGCCCGGAAGAAGGAAGAGGAAAGGAAAGGUUCUGGAAGCGCUCGCGGGCCGUCAAGCCACGCUGCGAGCUCUGCUUAGGAACGUCCAGCCGCCCGCCGAAGCUCAGCAUCCCCGCGGCGGCGUCAUAGGUUCCGGCUCCCUCGUGGCAUCUGGGACAGCAUGCUGGGGACAGCUUCCAUCAGAGCACCUCACAACACCCACACUGGACAUAAAAUGUGAGCAAGAAGUAAA